rnacentral:rRNA from 1 species
UACGGAGGGGGCUAGCGUUGUUCGGAAUUACUGGGCGUAAAGCGCACGUAGGCGGCUUUGCAAGUUAGAGGUGAAAGCCCGGGGCUCAACUCCGGAAUUGCGUUUAAAACUGCAUCGCUAGAAUUGUGGAGAGGUAAGUGGAAUUCCGAGUGUAGAGGUGAAAUUCGUAGAUAUUCGGAAGAACACCAGUGGCGAAGGCGACUUACUGGACAGAUAUUGACGCUGAGACGCGAAAGCGUGGGGAGCAAACAGG